rnacentral:rRNA from 1 species
AUUGAACGCUGGCGGCAUGCCUUACACAUGCAAGUCGAACGGUAACAGGUUAAGCUGACGAGUGGCGAACGGGUGAGUAAUGUAUCGGAACGUGCCCCGUCGUGGGGGAUAACUGCUCGAAAGAGCAGCUAAUACCGCAUACGCCCUGAGGGUGAAAGCGGGGGAUCGCAAGACCUCGCGCGAUUGGAGCGGCCGAUAUCAGAUUAGGUAGUUGGUGAGGUAAAGGCUCACCAAGCCGACGAUCUGUAGCUGGUCUGAGAGGACGACCAGCCACACUGGGACUGAGACACGGCCCAGACUCCUACGGGAGGCAGCAGUGGGGAAUAUUGGACAAUGGGCGCAAGCCUGAUCCAGCCAUGCCGCGUGCGGGAAGAAGGCCUUCGGGUUGUAAACCGCUUUUGUCAGGGAAGAAAAGGUGCUGGCUAAUACCUGGGACUCAUGACGGUACCUGAAGAAUAAGCACCGGCUAACUACGUG